ensembl:rRNA 5S_rRNA 5S ribosomal RNA
GCUUACGGGCAUACCACCUUAGGCACGCCCGAUCUCGUCUGAUCUCGGAAGCUAAGCAGGGUCGGGCCUAGUUAGUACUUGGAUGGGUGACCGCCUGGGAAUACCAGGUGCUGUAAGCA